rnacentral:rRNA from 1 species
CGAGUGGCGGACGGGUGAGUAAUGUCUGGGAAACUGCCCGAUGGAGGGGGAUAACUACUGGAAACGGUAGCUAAUACCGCAUAACGUCGCAAGACCAAAGAGGGGGACCUUCGGGCCUCUUGCCAUCGGAUGUGCCCAGAUGGGAUUAGCUAGUAGGUGGGGUAAAGGCUCACCUAGGCGACGAUCCCUAGCUGGUCUGAGAGGAUGACCAGCCACACUGGAACUGGGACACGGUCCAG